rnacentral:rRNA from 1 species
GUCUACAGCCAUGCUACCCUGAACAAGCCUGAUCCCAUCUGAUCUCGGAAACUAAGCAGGGUCGGGCCUAGUUAGUACUUGGAUGGGAGACCACUUAGGAAGACCAGGUGCUAUAACCA